rnacentral:rRNA from 1 species
AUUGAACGCUGGCGGCAGGCUUAACACAUGCAAGUCGAGCGGAGAUGAGGUGCUUGCACCUUAUCUUAGCGGCGGACGGGUGAGUAAUGCUUAGGAAUCUGCCUAUUAGUGGGGGACAACAUUCCGAAAGGAAUGCUAAUACCGCAUACGUCCUACGGGAGAAAGCAGGGGAUCUUCGGACCUUGCGCUAAUAGAUGAGCCUAAGUCGGAUUAGCUAGUUGGUGGGGUAAAGGCCUACCAAGGCGACGAUCUGUAGCGGGUCUGAGAGGAUGAUCCGCCACACUGGGACUGAGACAAGGCCCAGAGUCCUACGGGAGGCAGCAGUGGGGAAUAUUGGACAAUGGGGGGAACCCUGAUCUAGCCAUGCCGCGUGUGUGAAGAAGGCCUUAUGGUUGUAAAGCACUUUAAGCGAGGAGGAGGCUACUGAGACUAAUACUCUUGGAUAGUGGACGUUACUCGCAGAAUAAGCACCGGCUAACUCUGUGCCAGCCGCCGCCGUAA